AAUGGAGGGACGAACAGAGCGUAGCAGCAGAGUGUGAACGUUUUGCAUUGAAGAUCAGUCUUGCAGCUGUAUGCAUAAUGGAUUGGGGAUCAGUAUGAGAUCCCAGCUUAUGGGAUACCAGCAAUCGACAUACCAAUGCCAGGAUCCCUGAGUUUACAAUACCGACACAGUAUGUAUCAUAUUCAAUAACAGGCAUGCAGCCACCUCUGGGGUAAAACGCCAUCUAUCAUCUGUCACUUCAUGAUCUCUACAACAGAUUCCAAGGGGAGAAAGAGGAAGAAGGUAUAUCUAUUAGCCUGGUACUGCUGGGUAAACUGAGUCAUGGAGAGGAAGUAGAGGGAUUUAAGACAUUUUAAAAGCUAAUGAGAUAUCCAAGUACAUUUUAGAGAAAGAAGAAUGUAGAACAGUUCCAGCAUCACACAGGCUUCCCUUUCAUGUCUUGGAAAAAGAAGUAAAAAGGAGGUCACAAAACAGGAUACACUGGACUUGAUUCACAGCACAAAAGCAUAGCACAAAGUAUGGGACAAACAGUGAAGUUUUAUGUAAGGAAAGGAGUGGUAAUAAUAAAGUGGUA